rnacentral:rRNA from 1 species
GUCUAUCGUACCUUGUUGCUUCGGCGGGCCCGCCGUUUCGACGGCCGCCGGGGAGGCCUUGCGCCCCCGGGCCCGCGCCCGCCGAAGACCCCAACAUGAACGCUGUUCUGAAAGUAUGCAGUCUGAGUUGAUUAUCGUAAUCAGUUAAAACUUUCAACAACGGAUCUCUUGGUUCCGGCAUCGAUGAAGAACGCAGCGAAAUGCGAUAAGUAAUGUGAAUUGCAGAAUUCAGUGAAUCAUCGAGUCUUUGAACGCACAUUGCGCCCCCUGGUAUUCCGGGGGGCAUGCCUGUCCGAGCGUCAUUGCUGCCCUCAAGCACGGCUUGUGUGUUGGGCCCCCGUCCCCCUCUCCCGGGGGACGGGCCCGAAAGGCAGCGGCGGCACCGCGUCCGGUCCUCGAGCGUAUGGGGCUUUGUCACCUGCUCUGUAGGCCCGGCCGGCGCCAGCCGACACCCAACUUUAUUUUUCUAAGGUUGACCUCGGAUCAGGUAGGGAUACCCGCUGAACUUAAGCAUAUCAAUAAGCGGAGGAAAAGAAACCAACAGGGAUUGCCUCAGUAACGGCGAGUGAAGCGGCAAGAGCUCAAAUUUGAAAGCUGGCCCCUUCGGGGUCCGCGUUGUAAUUUGCAGAGGAUGCUUCGGGUGCAGCCCCCGUCUAAGUGCCCUGGAACGGGCCGUCAUAGAGGGUGAGAAUCCCGUCUGGGACGGGGUGUCUGCGUCCGUGUGAAGCUCCUUCGACGAGUCGAGUUGUUUGGGAAUGCAGCUCUAAAUGGGUGGUAAAUUUCAUCUAAAGCUAAAUACUGGCCGGAGACCGAUAGCGCACAAGUAGAGUGAUCGAAAGAUGAAAAGCACUUUGAAAAGAGAGUUAAACAGCACGUGAAAUUGUUGAAAGGGAAGCGUUUGCGACCAGACUCGCCCGCGGGGUUCAGCCGGCAUUCGUGCCGGUGUACUUCCCCGUGGGCGGGCCAGCGUCGGUUUGGGCGGCCGGUCAAAGGCCCUCGGAAUGUAUCACCUCUCGGG